AUUUCUUGAGUGGAGCUUUGACAUUCACCGCCGCCUUGGUUGUUUUAUUGGCUUUCUUACUCUUCACGAUGAGCAAAAAGAGCAGAUUCCAAUCAGAGUCUCCAGACAGAUUUUCAGCUCCCUCCACAGAGGUUAACCAGGAUGCAGACAAUCUCCACUAUGCUGCUUUCAGUGUUAAGCCCCCCAACAGACCAAAAAGACAAAGAAACACUGAGAGUGAAUGUGUCUAUUCCACUGUAAAACAAUAGAGCUGGAUGCUACAUGUCUUCAAAGUCCGUACCUCUCUAAAGAUGCAGAUAAUAACCUGACUGAAGAAGAUUGCACGUAUUUUGUCUACAGUGAAACCCUGAAAGACAUGUUUUCGAUUCAUAACGGUGAAAAAUUUGACCUGCAAUUACAGCAACGUGGUAUUUUUAUUAUUAUAUCAGACAGUAUUUUCA